rnacentral:rRNA from 1 species
UACGUAGGGUGCAAGCGUUGCCCGGAUUUAUUGGGCGUAAAGGGCGCGUAGGCGGCUCUGCACGUUCGUUGUGAAAUCGCCCGGCUCAACUGGGCGGGGUCAGCGGAUACGGCAGAGCUUGAGCAAGCUAGGGGGCAAUGGAAUUCCCGGUGUAGCGGUGAAAUGCGCAGAUAUCAGGAAGAACACCCGUGGCUAAGGCGGCUCUCUAGUACGGUACUGACGCUGAGACGCGAAAGCGUGGGGAGCGAACAGG